GCUCCAGUAGUGCAAUCGGUUAGCGCGCGGUACAAGUGAAGCCAUGCCAAGGUUGUGAGUUCAAGCCUCACCUGGAGCA